UCUCUCCUCUCUCUUUCUUUCAAAUUGCUUUUAUCUUUUUUCUCCCUUCACCCAUCUAUUUCUUCUCUUCUUUGGAAAAAAGUUUGUGCUAGCUACUCCCCCCCCCCCCACUAUAUAGACCCUAUCAUCAUGGUUCAUUCUCUUCAACCAGAUCUUUUCAUAUUGUACGUUCUUUACUUGAACCAUGAAUACAUGACUACAAUAAGAGAGAAAAAGAGAUGAGAGGUUGGCUGUUUUAAUUUGAAAGGAAAGAAAUGAGUAUAUAUGCAGGUGUGACAAAGAGCGUGGAGGAAGGGGAUGCAUGAAGGGGUUAAUUGGUUGGUUAAGUUGGGAAGUGCGAUGAGACAUUUCAUGCAUGUUGACAGAAGAGAGAGAGCACAACCCAGGAAUGGUGAAAGAGAGUCUUUGCUUUUGUUGGGAGUGUGCUCUCCCUUCUUCUGUCAUCAUCACAUGAAUCAACUUGCCUUCCAUGCUAUGCAACACUAGCUACAUAUCUCAUUCUCAUGUACUAAUCAAGGCACAGCCAAUAUCAAGACUCUAAUUAAGGCUAGGUGUAUCACAUGAUCGGGUGGUGCAUGUAUCUCGAUCACAACACACACUGUUUAUUAUUUGUAAACAUAUAAUUAAUAACAAUGUAAAAUAAAGUUUGUAACUUAAUAAAAUGACAACAAGAUAAUUGUCUGAAAACUUUCAGCCAAAUAGCUGAGAAUUUACUAUUC